CGGGCUGUGCUUAAGAAAAAAGCAGAAAGUGAAUCAUGUUUUAGGACAAACUGAGGUAGAAAGUGUCACUAAACCUUUUCCCACAGAACAAGGAGCCUAGGCUCCUUUCAGAACAAAGGCAGAUGGGCUGUUCUGUUAUUUGUGGUUAAGUCACAGGGUAGGACACCUAAAGCCCAGUCAGGAAAAUAACCAAAACGACCCACAGAACAUGAAGGACAUUAAGCCGAGUGGCAUGAGCCCCACCCUGGAGGAAAUGGCACACUGGAAACAGAUGAACCUCGAAACCUCAGUGACCAGACAGCAAACAACGUAGGUGGGCCAGGGGCAGAGGACAGAAACAAGAACACACUGUUCAUCCUUCCUUAAGAAGUGCCCUGGCCUUAGAUUUCUCAUUUUAUUGAAAACCAACCAACUAGGUAAAUUAUUCACUCUAGCACAUGCCCUUACUCUCCACAAUGUGGACCUUUCCAAGCAGCAGUAAAGUCAGUUGUCAGGUCCCUACCGGAGGAACUCGAAGUUUCGUCUUUUUUCUCCUCCUCCUCUUUAUCAUUGUUCUCUCCACCUGUUUCGGUCCCAGCUUCCCUGUCACUGUCCGUGUCCUUUGACUCCAGCACAUUAAUGGUGGGGGUGCUGGGCCUGCUGCUGUUGUUGGGAAGCCUCCCUCGUCUGCGACCUCCUGGGCGUUUGGGGGGCGUCUUGAUCCGCUCGGCAGUGAGGGCGGCAGCGAACUCCUUUGCUCCCUCCUAUGAAGUGAAACAUGGAGGAGAUAUAUCAAGGUCAAGUUCCAUGACUCAUUUUGUUGAAGGAGAAAACAAAAGAUUGGAUAAGCAAGGAGUCAAGAAAUUUAACACAGUAUCCAUUUUGCACAAAUAGUUGCAUCUCUAAAUAUGCUUGUUUCCUACUUCUAAUAGUGUGGAAAUUUCAGAAAAACAGAAAUGGGUUCUAUAUAUUGCUGGAGUGUUGUGAAAUCAGGCAAGACAGUUCUAUAUUUGUGAAAUGCAUUAACUGGUUAGUAAAUUAAAAUGUAAAAUAUAUUUUACAUAUAUAAUUUCUUUACAAGUGAAAUUUUAUGAGGAAAAUCAUAUACUUCCUGUGCAUCUGGAGUCAAACUUUCCUAAUCUGGCUGGGGUUUCUAAGAUAGCACAUGCUUCUAUGGUCAUGGUUAAAAUACACAAGAAUACAAAACAAACAUGCUGGACUUUGUCAUUUCCUGCCUUACUAUUAAAAUAUCCCAUUUUUUCCUGUAAGGGAUACAAACCCCCAGGAAGACACUUGAGGAUCAAGGCUGCGAGGAUUACAUCUGUAUUACGAAGUGCAAUAUCCAGUCUCAGAAAGUAUAAAACAAUGGGGAGAGCAUUGACUACAGAGAGACCAGAGAAACAUUUCAGAUGAGCCAAAUAAAUUCUACCUUGUAAAGAAUAUAUAAAAUAAGUGCUUAAGAAUCCCAUUUUUAGUGGCAAUAGAAGGGAGAAGUUUGAGAGCAGCCAACAGUUUUAUACUUCAUUCUACAAAAACCAAAUUGCUUAAAAAUAGGAUACCUUCUGCAGGUGCCAUUCAAUGAAUCUUCUGUCCAAAAUCCAACAGGCAAUAUAUACCCACUUAGUUCCUAGGUAGGAGUGGCUUGGUUCAAAGAGGGGAAAUGGUAAAAAUAAGAUAGUACCCAUAAAAAAAACAACUUUUCUACCUCAUUAUUUCCCUAAACCUUUACCUUUUCUCCAUUUUUAUUUU